CAAGUGUAACCUGCAUGCCAACAGCUGUGUGUUUGACAAGGGGAAGCUGGGCUGUGAGUGUGAACACAACACCACAGGGCCAGACUGCAGCCGCUGUAAGAGGCAUUACCACGGAAGAGCCUGGAGUGUGGGCUCCUACCUCCCCAUACCCAAAGGAACCGCAAAUAUAUGUAUCCCCAGUAACCAUGGACCAGCGCAUCGAGCAAAUGCUUCAUCUCUUGGUGUUGCAAAUCGUAACCAAGGUAGG